AGUGAACGCUGGCGGUAGGCCUAACACAUGCAAGUCGAACGGCAGCACAGUAAGAGCUUGCUCUUACGGGUGGCGAGUGGCGGACGGGUGAGGAAUACAUCGGAAUCUACUUUUUCGUGGGGGAUAACGUAGGGAAACUUACGCUAAUACCGCAUACGACCUACGGGUGAAAGCAGGGGAUCUUCGGACCUUGCGCGAUUGAAUGAGCCGAUGUCGGAUUAGCUAGUUGGCGGGGUAAAGGCCCACCAAGGCGACGAUCCGUAGCUGGUCUGAGAGGAUGAUCAGCCACACUGGAACUGAGACACGGUCCAGACUCCUACGGGAGGCAGCAGUGGGGAAUAUUGGACAAUGGGCGCAAGCCUGAUCCAGCCAUACCGCGUGGGUGAAGAAGGCCUUCGGGUUGUAAAGCCCUUUUGUUGGGAAAGAAAAGCAGCAGGUUAAUACCCCGCUGUUCUGACGGUACCCAAAGAAUAAGCACCGGCCAACUUCGU
rnacentral:rRNA from 1 species